GCUCUGCUGUGCUGUGAUGGGGUGGGUGGCACGUCUGCCCCUUCAGAGAGGCAGAGACGCAACGUAUCCAUCCACAACACAAUGGCAUUGCACUGCUGCUCCGCGACCCAGCAGCAUCACUCUUCGUCGGCCCCAUCCUGCCUCUCCAGCCACUCCGCCCAUGUCGCCCAUUGCCACCCAGCUCCAUGGAAGGCUUCGUCGUCGUCGUCGUCGGCGAAAUCAGUGACACGAGCCGCUCGUCGUGCUGGCGGGGAUUUGGCAGCGCUGGGCCAUGACGAUGCUCGACGAUGUCGGGAGAGCGCACCUUUGAACUGCUGCUGUUGCUAGUGCUGUCAGAGCCAUCGGAUGGCUGGAUGGUCAGAACGGAAGGCAGCCGGAUCGGGAUCGGCAAGGGUGUGCCGGAGCACCAGGGCACCAGGCAUUUGAAACGGGCACGUAUAGUAUAGACAACACUCGUCUAAUGGUUGGAGAAACGGGUAGCGAACAUAGCGUAGACGGCAUAAAUCUUCCCCAGCGCUUGCUGCUGGCGACUCAAUCGAUGCGGAUCUCGGUUUUUGGUCCGAUGGCCAGGUGGAAGUCAACUGGGAAACUAGGAUUGCGGCAGCGGCAACAGUUUAAGGAGACUUUCAGUUCACAUCCGAAAUUAGCUUAUUUGGCCACCGUGCAGGCAGAACAACAAUACGACCAACCAACCAACCUAUUCCGGCUGCAGUACGAAGCCAAAAAAUCGUGGCCCAUCCAACCAUCCCAGCCCCCCACGUACGCUACUCCCCCGGCGUAAUCCGCAAUCAUCCUCAAUCGGUUGGCUGACUCGCCUACAAAAAGCGAAAUUGAGGCAUUUUUACCUUUUUAUUAGUACAUAAUCAUGGCAGGGGACGUGGCCGGCCGUGCGAUGGAAUCAAUGGACCCAGUACAUGACAAUAAAAAUUGGCCAUAGUGUAAGUGCUUUCUGCUCGUGGUGGUAGUGCGACAGUCUGUCUGUCUGCGCUCCGUUUCCCAAACCCCACCCUCCUCCCAUCCCAUAUGUGCGUUUCUGGCCAUCCGGCUAACGAAAUUUAAAAGCGCGAACGGCACGGAACGGUCAGUGAAAUCGAAACAGAAGGGCAACAGAAGCAGAAACAGAAGCAGAAGCACAUUAAGCCACAGCUAUAACUAUAAAACGGAAACAGCUUUGCAUACAUUCGCUGGAAAACGCUUCAUUUACCAUUUACUGCAGUGCAGUGCAGGAAAAUCGGGCUGCGAUACCAUAUUUAUUAUCUUGCCAUGCGUCUGGCAUGUUAGCUAGUCUAAGCCGGGUCAGUUAGCCAGUUUGGUCAAAUGUAAGUCACUUGUGGAAGGUACGAGUGUAGUCCCUCAAACAGUUGCAUUAGUUGGCAAAAAUGAAAAUGAAAUGAAUGAACUGCGCUCGGAACAUCUAUGAAUCUCGUUUAGAUUGCUUAUUUAUUCCCGAAAUAAAUCGUUUGCAGAUACUUGAUUUUUAUCGCGGAUAGCCAAGCGAGAAGAUGGUGGGGGUAUCUAAUGAAUUGAAUGCCUUCUUAUGGCCACGCCGCACGGAACAACAACUAUGGAUAUGGAGCGCAAAACUAAUUAUGAUUUGACUGCGGCGAGUUAAGGAACGAACCACCAUCUCGUUGUCGUGGGCAGACUAACAAAUGGCUGCGCCAGGCCGCCCAGCAGGUUGCGAUCCUGGCCAGACAUACUCGUAUUGUUGGCGCAUUGGACGUGGUUUUUAAUUUUCUUUAUCUGGACUCCUUGGCUUUCAGCUGCGGGCGCACUUAAUUUAUACCCUACGCAGUGCGACCCGCGGCACUAAGUCUAAGGGAAAAUUAUUUUCGUCAGCUUAAUUGGAUGCCGUGCACUUCCUGCCAUUGAAGCGAAAUGAAAUACUGAAAGAGCAAGGUAUAUGUACAUAUGUAUAUAAUACCUAUAGUAUCUGGACCAUCCUUCGAUACGCACUCGUUGCAAGGGCCGCGAGUGUUUGGUAAUUUUGCUGCAUGCCCCAUAAGUAUGUUAUGUACAUUAAAGCGAAUACAUGCCUGUGUACUUAGUGCCCACGGAUGGCAUCGGUGGUCGGCAGUGCUUGACGCCCUUUGCGUGUUGCGACAAAGGUGUUAACGCCAACAAGUUGCCUCACUAUGAUGACAAUAGAACAAUUGGCCAUGGGUAGUAUUGCCGUGCCGUGCCGUCCCGUUCCGUGCCGUGUCGUGUCGGAGAUUUUUCGCAUAUUUAUACAGGUGCUCAGGUGGGUACAAGAUAACCAACCGGGCAGAUUCGAAGCCCAACUUGAAGCGUUCGCAGAAGGCUGGAGGCAGUGAGGCAGUCGAGCCACUGAAGGCAAUCAGUCUGUGUCAAAGCUGCAGGGAGUGCAUGAGGAGCCUUUGAUAUUGUUGACACAACCAGGGCAGGCCGGUCAGGAUGGGCUGGAUGGCAAGGAUGGGCAAUGAAGGUCGGUCUGGUGGGACAACGAAACGGCGAUGCGAUGUCACAACGAUUUUCCAAAGGAUUAAAGUUGUCGUUUGUCGUCCAGAUGCAUGAUUGCGUGUACAUAUAACAACAUCGCAGGCCAAUAAAAACCGAACAAUUUGGAGUCCUUGUUAAUGGCACAAUAUCGUUGAAUUUGUAGUCGGGUGGCACGGAA